UUCAGACAACUUUAUUUAUCCCCAUAGGGAAAUUCAGUUUUAGCCUACCAGUCGCAUUAACAAGACAAGAAGACAACAAUCAAGAAUUCUGAAACACUGUCAAUGACAUAAUCUUGCAUUUGGGUACCAGGAAAAAGAAGUAGAUACAAAGGUCACAAUACACGACCACGUUCCUAACUAAGAACAUGGGCAGGAUGAGUCAUGACCUGCUUAGCCUUCUGGAGCACCUAUUUUUUCCAGAGGGAGCUCAGUUCUCUCAGCUGUACUCCAGUGAUUCUGUGGUCCAUGUCACCUGGUCUUGCACCCAAGUGCACUUUAGGAAUGAACAUGAUCAAGCUCCAGAGUCUGGGUAGUGUUAUUACAGUCACUCUACAAAUAUAAAAUUCAAUGGUACUAUCUAUAUCAACCGCCUCUCUAUACACCAAUUUUGUUUUUAAUGCGUCUCUGUAGGAAAGGGGAAAAGAGAAGGAAAGAGGGGGUAAGUAGGUGUGUCCUCUCGAGGCAGCAUCUCUGCUCCGGGAGGGCACACGAUGUGUCCCACCUCUAGCAUCGCUGGUGAUGUGAUCUGCCACUAGCUGAAGACACACCUAAUUACAUAUGAAAAUAAAGUGACUUCCUUACCAACAGACCCCAGGUGCUGAGGAUAGGGAAACACACAUCUGACCCACUGACCCUCAACACUGGAAUCGUGCAGGGGGCUUGCUGUUUGAGAACACUAGUGUCCGAAAUCACUCCUUCAGGAUUGUUCUAGAAUACCAGACCUCACCAGGCAGGAAUUCAUAAAACAGUGACCCAGACUAAGAGCUGUUUAGCUAUUGUUUGGUCAUUUUUAUUAUACAUAUUUGUUAAUGAUUGCCUGUUCUACUUAUUAAUAGUUAUUGGUAGCCAAACUAAACCUUUUGUUGCACAACACGACUCCUGAGGACUCAUUUCUUUUUCAUACUUCUGUUUAUUUAUUUUUUUUUGUGUCCUAAAACUUCUUUGCUAAAGUUCUGAAGUAAGCGGCACUACAUUUUUCACAUUACGUUAC